rnacentral:rRNA from 1 species
AUGGCGGCAUGGAUGGGCGUGGAGGAGCGCGGCGAGACGCUGCGGAGCACCGCCGAGGAGCUCGUCGGCGAGGACGAGCUGCUCCCGCUGCUGCACGGCAACCCCAGCCCGGUCUGCCUCAACAGCUUCGAGCCCUCCGUCUCCGGCCGCGUGAACAUCUGGCAGGGUGUUGGGAAGGUGAUCAAUGUGAACAAGAUGGUGAGGGCCGGAUGCAGAGUGAAGAUCCUCAUAGCGGACCAGCGGACUGGAGCGAAGGACUCGAGCGAGAUCAGGGCCGCCGGUCGCCACGCGAUCGAGGUCUGGAAAGCCCUGGGCAUGAGCUCGGACGGGGUGGACUUCCUCUGGUGCUCCGAGGAGACGAGCAGGCGCGCGCACGAGUACUGGCCGCUCGUGAUGGGGAUUUCCCGGAACCACCGCGUCAGAUCGUUAGCGAGCAUGCAUGCGGAUCCUGAAAAUGUGGCGUGUAAUCAGCUCUUGGAGCCCCUCAUGAAGUGUGCUGAUAUACUCUUCCUCGAGGCAGACAUAUGCCAGAUGGGCGUGGAUCAACGAGAGGUGAGUAUGAUGGCUAGAGGAUACUGCGAGCACAUUGGAAGGGCAAAUAAACCAAUAUUUCUGUUGCAUCAUGUGCUACCUGGUUUCAAAGAAGGACAGCAGAGAAUGUCAGAGAGUGAUCCACUGUCAGCUAUUUUUAUGGAAGACACUGAGUCUGAGGUUACAAAAAAGAUAAAGAAGGCUUUCUGCCCUCCCAAGAUUACUCAAGGAAAUCCAUGCUUGGAGUACGUAGAGCAUAUCGUUCUCCCUUGGUUUAGAGAGUUCGAGGUGGUCCCACCUGAUGGCGGUAACAGCCGGACCUACGUAGGAAUUGAAGAACUCCGCGAGGAUUACGGCAGUGGCACUGUGCAUCCCCGUGAUCUGAAACUUGCUCUUGCAAAAGCAAUAAACCAGAUAUUGCAGCUUGUACGUGAUCACUUCGAGAAAAAUUGCGAAGCCAAAGGUCCGUGUGACGAUGUUAAGUGA